ensembl:lncRNA novel transcript
UGGCUGUUGGAUGGAGUGGAAGGCCUGCAGGAGGGCCUGCCUGCUCACAGCAAACACGACGGGCAGCUAUGGGUGCCAGCUGCUGGGCCUGGUGGGCCACAUCAACUGUGGUCAGGGUAAACACCCUGUAGCCAAGGUUAAUAUCUGAGCCACAGACCAAAUUGGCAGUUAAAGCUGGUACUCAGGACAUUCCGUUGGGCUAGAGAGGGAGAACCACUCAGCUGGCUUAAUGAAAGACACGGGUGUGGGACUUUGUCAGCAGAUGCAAGCCUGGAGCCACCACACAGCAGAGAGGAGUAGGAAACCAGAGUAUGGAAGCCCCUUCCUCUCCUGCACCAAAUCACUCACAGCACCAUGAUGGGCAGCAGUAGAAGGAUUAGAAACCACACCGCCCUGAUAGGAGUUGAACUUUUCUUCAACUGGCUCUUAAGCUGACAUGAGAUUGCGCUAGUUGGAAGAUACCAAGAUACUCUUAAAAGAGAAGAUGAAGUUCUCAUGUUUCAACCCCUAUUACUAUUGACUGUCAACUUCCCAAAAGACCCCAGAAAAACAUGUUAAUGGAACAAAACUAAGUUUAUUAGAUUUACUGUAGUAUAAGAGAAAACCACCUUGGUAGAGUCUUGAUAGUGCCUCAGGUUGACAAAGUCAGGGUCUGCACUGGGGGACUUCUAAGGUAGCUUUUGCAAGGUGGGGAGUAGCUUGGGACUGGGCAGGGUUUCUACCCUAACAAUUCUCAAUUGGUAAGCCCCGCAAGGCCAAGGAUCCUGAAGCAAAUCUAGAUAAGAAAGAUACUGGAUUUUAUAAGCUAGCUAUUUUAGUGGAUUUACUGCCUCAUUUUUGGUAAGCAAGUCUUCCUGAAGCAAGCAGGCUUUGGAAUAAGAUGAAGUCACCCAAACUCCAUUGUGAAAUCUAGUCUCCUUGCAAUCUGUCUGACCUCAGAGAGGCAAACAAAAUGUCUGUUUGGGAGAUGGUACAGAUGAGGAAAUGAAAGCCUCCGGAUGUAGGUUCUCUGGACCAGACCGCCGCAGCAGAGACCUGUGUUUUCUCCUGGGGAUUCGGAAACCCCACUCCCCUUGCCUUCAGAGGCGCUGCCGCUCUCCAUUGUGGGGCAGAGGUGAAGAAGCAAAGAAAGUGUCCUUUUCAUCCUCGCCAUAGAAUGAAAAACAAUUCAUCACCACAAUUACUCACCAAACCUGAGAGGAGGACAAAAGAAAACAUGUUUACGUUACUUUUUCUUUCAUUAAAAAGCAACACGUGUUUUUGCCCAUCAGAUAGAAAACACAGAUGCAGAAAAAGGUAAACAAUUCAAAGAAAACCCUCUCUUCUAGAAAUACUUAACAGUUACUAAUUAUAAAGACACAUAGGAGUUGCAGGAAGUGAUUCUAAUUCUUGAUGUAAGAGAAUAUUUUCAUGGCAUGUUCCACAUUGAGAAACCUGAUCCAGUGACUCAGAAUUAUUUCUGAAACAAUAUCCCCUUCCCCCACCCUCUGCUCAAUUUCUUCUAAUUAUAACUCUCUGAGAUAUUUGCCUCUGAUAAUCAUAGGGAAAGAAGGGGAGAGGGAAAGGAGAAGAGAAAAGGAAUAUAGUUCAAUUGCCAAUAUGCCAAAAGUGGAAAGAUGGACCCGAGUCUCCUCUGGCGCAGUGUCAGGACUGUACAGCACACACUGGCCAGGCCCGUGCCAGAGGCCCAUUGUCAGACACCAUGGUGGGAGCAUGGGAACCUUCUAAAUGAACAGCCCUGCUCAACUCCUUGGGCCUCAUGUGGGCUGGGAAAAUAGAUCUGAUUCCACCCUUGUUCCUGCAAUACUCAACACAAUGCCAAGCCUGUACUGGGCGCCCAAUAUAUUUUUCUUGAAUGAGUUAAUAA